rnacentral:rRNA from 1 species
AAAUGCGAUACGUAGUGUGAAUUGCAGAAUUCCGCGAAUCAUCGAGUCUUUGAACGCAAGUUGCGCCCGAGGCUUGUCCAAGGGCAUUUCCGCUAGAGCGUCACCGCGCCCCCCACCGAUCCACUCUCGCCGCGAGGCGACAGUCGGGUCGAGUGAAAGUGGCCGUCCCGGUUUACGAGGUGGUCUUCUCGCGAAGGCCAUCCUUAGAAGGGUCGGCUGAAAUGGAUGGAAUUGGGCCGCCGUGGUGACACAGUCCGCGAUCGGGUGAUUUUGUGGCGAGCCUCCUCCGGGAGGGUCGCCGUGAAUUUUUCUAAGUGCGAGUCUGCGUCCCCCAGUUGGCUUUGGUUACCUCAUGCAGGUCGAGCGCGCCCCCCGCGGCGCGCGUCACGCAUCAGACCUCUAAUCGGAAAAGACUACCCGCUGAGUUUAAGCAUAUCACUAAGCGGAGGAGA